rnacentral:rRNA from 1 species
UACGUAGGGUGCAAGCGUUGUCCGGAAUUAUUGGGCGUAAAGAGCUCGUAGGCGGCUUGUCGCGUCGGCUGUGAAAACCCGAGGCUUAACCUCGGGCUGGCGGUGGAUACGGGCAGACUAGAGGUAGGUAGGGGAGAAUGGAAUUCCCGGUGUAGCGGUGAAAUGCGCAGAUAUCGGGAGGAACACCGGUGGCGAAGGCGGUUCUCUGGGCCUUACCUGACGCUGAGGAGCGAAAGCGUGGGGAGCGAACAGG